GGGGGACUACCCGCUGAACUUAAGCAUAUCAAUAAGCGGAGGAAA
rnacentral:rRNA from 1 species